AACGGCCGCGGUAUCUUGACCGUGUGAAGGUAGCGUAAUCAUUUGUCUUUUAAAUGAAGACCUGUAUGAAUGGCACGACGAGGGCUUAACUGUCUCACUUUCUUAGUCAAUGAAAUUGAUCUCCCCGUGCAGAAGCGAGGAUAAAUACAUAAGACGAAAAGACCCUGUGGAGCUUUAGAUAAAAUAAUAGCUCGUAUUUUAACUUUCACCCACGCAACCUAUUAUUAUAUCUUCGGUUGGGGCGACCACGGAGAAAAACAAAACCUCCACGCGGAAAUAUCUAUAUUUCUUAGAAACAAGAGUAUACAACUCUAAAAUCCAGAAUAUCUGUCCUAAAAGAUCCGGCAUCAAUAAGCCGAUCAACGAACCAAGUUACCCCAGGGAUAACAGCGCAAUCCCCUUUUAGAGCCCAUAUCAACAAGGGGGUUUACGACCUCGAUGUUGGAUCAGGACAUCCUAAU
rnacentral:rRNA from 1 species